AUUGAACGCUGGCGGCAGGCCUAACACAUGCAAGUCGAACGAGUGGCGGACGGGUGAGUAAUGUCUGGGAAACUGCCCGAUGGAGGGGGAUCACUACUGGAAACGGUAGCUAAUACCGCAUACCCUCGGAUGUGCCCAGCUGGGAUUAGCUGGUGGGUGGGGUAAGGGCUCACCUGGGCGACGAUCCCUAGCGGGUCUGAGAGGAUGACCGCCAACACUGGAACUGGACAACGGCCAAGACUCCUACGGGAGGCAGCAGGGGGGAAUAUUGCACAAUGGGCGAAGGCCGAAUGCAGCCAUGCCGCGUGUAUGAAGAGGGCCUUCGGGUUGUAAAGUACUUUCAGCGAGGAGGCGUUACUCGCAGAGGAAGCACCGGCUAACUCCGUGCCAGCAGCCGCGGUAAUAC
rnacentral:rRNA from 1 species